CUGUAUUUUCAUGGGUUGAAAUUUUGUUGCUAAUUGUUGUUGUUGUUGUUGUUGUUGCUAUUCGCUUUCGAUGGUUGUUUCUGGUUGUUGUUAGUUAUUGCUUAAUUGCUGCGAUGGUCUUGUUGGUUGUUGCUGGUUGUUACUGGUUGCUUUUGGUUGUCAAUGGUUGCCGACUUGCUGAUGGUUCUCGCUGGCUGUCCACAUUUGUCCGUGUUGUUUUCUGACACCAUGAUUGUGAUCUUUACUCCUUAUAAACCAAUUC